GGGGCGGCUAGGGUAGCUCCCGAACGGCUGGUUUCCGCCCGGCCUGCCGCCCCGUCAUCAUCAAGC
rnacentral:sRNA from 1 species